UUCAUAGAAGUCAGGUUAGGAAGCCCAGUACUAGACUGGGAGCUCCUUGAGGGCAGGGCAGGGGCUUGCUUGCUUUUGCAGUUCUAACCCCAACCUGGCACUUGACUGGUAAAUACUUAGUGAACACUCAUUCAAACCUUCCUCCAUGCUUUUAUUCUGGGGGCCAAGAAGUAGCCAAGAGCUCUUAAGCGUGUCACCUGAGUCUGAGUCUUUAAGGUCUGUCCCUGCCACAAAGGGGCCACCUGACUGGGUCUAUUACGUGAUCUAAUUUCCUCCAGCUUCCCCAGCUACCCAGGUGGCAAUAUCCUGCCUCCUACGGUGUGUCAACUUUGGGUUAUUGGACUUGGCGAUAGCCAUCUCCUCUCGGAGGCGCUAAUGAAGUCUGCGGGAUGAUCAUAAUCACUGAUGUUCCCAUAACGCUGUGGGCUGAGAAGCCCUCCCUCUACAUUAUCUCAUGCUGACCCACACAUCAGCCGGGGGCGGGGGGAGAGGGGGAAGCUCAGGUAUUAACUGAGUUAUUCUAGGCUUAUACUCUGUACAACUAACUCAUGGCCUUAAGAUGCGCUUCUGUCUUAUCUCAGGAAAAUGAAAAUCCCUUGAGGGGAGGGACUAUUUCUUGCCUCUUAGUAUUUGUGAAAGGUUGGUAGGACCUGUGAUUUCACUGAUACUCCCAAGUGAGCCUUCCUUUUACAGUGCAGUUCAGUUCCUGAUGCCUCGAUUUAUAACCUAGAACAAUACUAAUUAUAAUAAUAGCUACUAUUGAUGUAGUGUUUACUAUGUAGCAGGUGCUGUGCUAAAUGUUACCUCAUUUGAACAUUACAGUAACCCUGGGAGGUAGCUAUUAUUAUCUCCAUUAUACAAUCGAGGAAACUGAGGCAGGCAGAGAGUAACCCUGGGAAAUAGCUAUUAUUAUCUCCAUUAUACAAUCGAGGAAACUGAGGCAGACAGAGAGUAACCCUGGGAAGUAGCUAUUAUUAUCUCCAUUAUACAAUCGAGGAAACUGAGGCAGGCAGAGAGUAACCCUGGGAGGUAGCUAUUAUUAUCUCCAUUAUACAAUCGAGGAAACUGAGGCAGGCAGAGAGUAACCCUGGGAGGUAGCUAUUAUUAUCUCCAUUAUACAAUCGAGGAAACUGAGGCAGGCAGAGAGUAACCCUGGGAGGUAGCUAUUAUUAUUUCCAUUAUACAAUCGAGGAAACUGAGGCAGGCAGAGAGUAACCCUGGGAAAUAGCUAUUAUUAUCUCCAUUAUACAAUUGAAGAAACUGAGGCAGACAGAGAGUAACCCUGGGAUGUUAGCUAUUAUUAUCUCCAUUAUACAAUCGAAGAAACUGAGGCAGGCAGAGAGUAACCCUGGGAAAUAGCUAUUAUUAUCUCCAUUAUACAAUCGAGGAAACUGAGGCAGGCAGAGAGUAACCCUGGGAAAUAGCUAUUAUUAUCUCCAUUAUACAAUCGAGGAAACUGAGGCAGACAGAGAGUAACCCUGGGAGGUAGCUAUUAUUAUCUCCAUUAUACAAUCGAGGAAACUGAGGCAGGCAGAGAGUAACCCUGGGAGGUUAGCUAUUAUUAUCUCCAUUAUACAAUCGAGGAAACUGAGGCAGGCAGAGAGUAACUCUGGGAGGUAGCUAUUAUUAUCUCCAUUAUACAAUCAAGGAAACUGAGGCAGGCAGAGCUUAAGUGACUUGCCCAGCAUGUAAAGCAGAGACUAGAUUUGAACUCUAGGUCCAGUACUCUAUUCACUAUUCCAGUUUUCAGAGAAGUGGUUCCCAAUGUUUUUUGUUCUUCCAAUCCCUUUCAAUAACAACAACAAGAUAAUACCUCAGGGUAAUUUGAUAUACUAUUCAUAAUAUAUUUUUUUUGGUAUUAUUAUUGUUCAAGGCACCAUUAAAGUGUUUUAAGUGUGAAUACAUUGCCCAUCAUUCUGAACCGCAUCAAGGGGUUCAUGAAGCAUUCAAUGGGAGCCACUGAUCUAGACACACAAUGUAAGUGGGGAACAAACCCAGGUAUUUUUGAGUGCAAGGCUUGAGUCUGGCCCCAAGACCCCAAUCUCUUUCUGCUUAGCUCAUAGUAGAUGGUGAAUAAAUGAUCCAAAGUCAUUUGAAUGACCAAACUACAGGUAUUAGUGACAACUCCAGCCUCCCAGGUUCCCUGGAAUUAUAAGAGACUUUAUUACAAAUGCCAAAGAACUUAUGUUAUUCAACAUGUUACUCACCAUGGUACUUUCCUACUUCAACAAGCCUUCUCCAUUCCAUUUUCCUUUUUUCUUUCUUUUUUUCUUUUUUCUGAGGCAAUUGGGGUUAAGUGACUGCCCAGGGUCACACAGCUAGGAAGUGUUAAGUGUCUGAGACCAGACUUGCACUCAGGUCCUCCUGACUUCAGGGCUAGUGCCCUAUCCACUGAACCAACUAGCUGCCCCCAUUCCAUUUUUCUUUAGUGAUGUUGGUUAGCUUUAAAAAUGUCUUUAAUCCUAUAGGAGUAAUGAGGAUGAUCUGUCCUUCUCAGGCAUAGUAUAAUUAGAAACAGAUCUAUGAAUGAUGAAUCAGACUUAUACAAAUUUACAAGUUUAAUUAUAGCUGCCCUUGAAAACACUAAGUUUACUCUUAGAGUCAACCAAGAAUAAGUCUUUACUGAUAAUUCCAAUACUUUAUUUCUAGUUAAAUAGUAGCAGUCUUACAACUUUUUUUUCUUUAUUCAUAUUUAUUCUAGAAAUAAACAGCCACCUGCCUAGCUGUUGGUGGGCUAAAUAAGCCAUUCGUACCUUACAUGCAUCAAAAUAUGGGACAUGUUCCAUAUUAUAGAACACUAAUUUUUCUGCUAUUUUUUCCCCACCAAGAAAUCAUUGCUGGCACAGGCCAUGUGAAUAGUUAAUCUUGUUUCAUUAAAAAAAGAGCAUGAAUGAAUAAACACUGUACUACAAAAGAUUUCUAGUCACUGCCAUGUAAUGGAUAUUCCCCUACCUUUCCCCACCCCCAAAGCAAAUGAGUUUUAGAUUCCCUUACAAGCAAAGCCUAUUCUGACUGCAAGUUACUUCUUUUUAUCACUGGAAUGACUAACAAUGAGGUCUCCUCUCAUAUAAAAUGGUCUUGUGUGCCUCCAUGAAGUCAUGGGGAAUUUAGCAUUCCCUCCUUUUUUUAUCACAUAGAAAUUACAAUUUUUAGUGGAACCAUCAUCGUACAUGACACUAGCUGAGCAACAUUAACUUUAUUUGUUAUCAUUAAUUAAGGAAAUGAAGGUGAAUGACUACAGAUUAAUAAGCAAGAAAGAAUACAUCAAAAUAAAGUAUUCAAUACUUCUGUUCAU